rnacentral:rRNA from 1 species
AGUGAACGCUGGCGGUAGGCCUAACACAUGCAAGUCGAACGGCAGCACAGUAAGAGCUUGCUCUUACGGGUGGCGAGUGGCGGACGGGUGAGGAAUACAUCGGAAUCUACUUUUUCGUGGGGGAUAACGCAGGGAAACUUACGCUAGUACCGCAUACGACCUACGGGUGAAAGCAGGGGAUCUUCGGACCUUGCGCGAUUGAAUGAGCCGAUGUCGGAUUAGCUAGUUGGCGGGGUAAAGGCCCACCAAGGCGACGAUCCGUAGCUGGUCUGAGAGGAUGAUCAGCCACACUGGAACUGAGACACGGUCCAGACUCCUACGGGAGGCAGCAGUGGGGAAUAUUGGACAAUGGGCGCAAGCCUGAUCCAGCCAUACCGCGUGGGUGAAGAAGGCCUUCGGGUUGUAAAGCCCUUUUGUUGGGAAAGAAAAGCAGCAGGUUAAUACCCCGCUGUUCUGACGGUACCCAAAGAAUAAGCACCGGCUAACUUCGUG